AUUGAACGCUGGCGGCAUGCCUUACACAUGCAAGUCGAACGGCAGCAUAGGAGCUUGCUCCUGAUGGCGAGUGGCGAACGGGUGAGUAAUAUAUCGGAACGUGCCCUAGAGUGGGGGAUAACUAGUCGAAAGACUAGCUAAUACCGCACACGAUCUACGGAUGAAAGUGGGGGAUCGCAAGACCUCAUGCUCCUGGAGCGGCCGAUAUCUGAUUAGCUAGUUGGUGGGGUAAAAGCUCACCAAGGCGACGAUCAGUAGCUGGUCUGAGAGGACGACCAGCCACACUGGGACUGAGACACGGCCCAGACUCCUACGGGAGGCAGCAGUGGGGAAUUUUGGACAAUGGGGGCAACCCUGAUCCAGCAAUGCCGCGUGAGUGAAGAAGGCCUUCGGGUUGUAAAGCUCUUUUGUCAGGGAAGAAACGAUUCUGGAUAAUACCUGGGACUAAUGACGGUACCUGAAGAAUAAGCACCGGCUAACUACGUGCCAGCCGCCGCGGUAA
rnacentral:rRNA from 1 species